UACGUAGGUGGCGAGCGUUGUCCGGAAUUACUGGGCGUAAAGGGUGCGUAGGUGGUAUUUUAAGUCAGAUGUGAAACUCCCGGGCUCAACCUGGGAACUGCAUUUGAAACUGGGAUACUAGAGUGCAGGAGAGGAAAGCGGAAUUCCUAGUGUAGCGGUGAAAUGCGUAGAUAUUAGGAAGAACACCAGUGGCGAAGGCGGCUUUCUGGACUGUAACUGACACUGAGGCACGAAAGCGUGGGGAGCAAACAGG
rnacentral:rRNA from 1 species